rnacentral:rRNA from 1 species
AUUGAACGCUGGCGGCAUGCCUUACACAUGCAAGUCGAACGGUAACGGGCCUUCGGGUGCCGACGAGUGGCGAACGGGUGAGUAAUGCAUCGGAACGUACCUUUCAGUGGGGGAUAACGUAGCGAAAGUUACGCUAAUACCGCAUAUUCUGUGAGCAGGAAAGCAGGGGAUCGCAAGACCUUGCGCUGAUUGAGCGGCCGAUGUCAGAUUAGCUAGUUGGUGAGGUAAAGGCUCACCAAGGCGACGAUCUGUAGCGGGUCUGAGAGGAUGAUCCGCCACACUGGAACUGAGACACGGUCCAGACUCCUACGGGAGGCAGCAGUGGGGGAAUUUUGGACAAUGGGGGGCAACCCUGAUCCAGCCAUGCCGCGUGAGUGAAGAAGGCCUUCGGGUUGUAAG